rnacentral:rRNA from 1 species
UAAGGAAUAUUGCUUAAUGGGCGAAAGCCUGAAGCAGCAACGCCGCGUGAACGAAGAAGGCCUUCGGGUCGUAAAGUUCUUUUACGUGGGAUGAGGAAGGACAGUACCACGAGAAUAAGUCUCGGCUAACUACGUGCCAGCAGCCGCGGUAAAACGUAGGAGACGAGCGUUAUCCGGAUUCACUGGGCGUAAAGCGCGUGUAGGAGGCGCUACAAGUUGGAUGUGAAAGCUCCCGGCUUAACUGGGAGAGGUCGUUCAAGACUGUAGAGCUAGAGUGAGGCAGAGGUAGAUGGAACUCCGGGAGUAGUGGUGAAAUGCGUAGAUAUCCGGAAGAACACCAGAGGCGAAAGCGAUCUACUGGACCUAAACCGACACUGAGACGCGAAAGCCAGGGUAGCAAACGG